CUGAUUUCUACGCCCCAUUGCUGUGUUAGCAGGUGAUGUAAGGGUCGACCACCGCUCUGCUGUGUUUCCCGCGGGGUCCCCGCCCCAGAGAAACUCGAGGUCGCGGUUGGCAGGUGUGUGGUAGGCCCCGGUCCUUUAGAUGCUUCGGGGAGUACUGGAAGGGCAUCUGGGGAUUCGGUGUGGUGUCCCCAGGCUGUAGCUGAUGCUGACACAGUCGGAUGGCGGUUAGUCACC